AUUGAACGCUGGCGGCAUGCUUUACACAUGCAAGUCGAACGGUAACAGGCCGCAAGGUGCUGACGAGUGGCGCACGGGUGCGUAAUGCAUCGGAACGUGCCCAGUCGUGGGGGAUAACCACUCGAAAGAGUAGCUAAUACCGCAUACGAUCUAUGGAUGAAAGCGGGGGACCGUAAGGCCUCGCGCGAUUGGAGCGGCCGAUGUCAGAUUAGGUAGUUGGUGGGGUAAAGGCUCACCAAGCCAACGAUCUGUAGCUGGUCUGAGAGGACGACCAGCCACACUGGGACUGAGACACGGCCCAGACUCCUACGGGAGGCAGCAGUGGGGAAUGUUGGACAAUGGGCGCAAGCCUGAUCCAGCAAUGCCGCGUGCAGGAAGAAGGCCUUCGGGUUGUAAACUGCUUUUGUACGGAACGAAACGGCUCUGGUUAAUACCCGGGGCUAAUGACGGUACCGGAAGAAUAAGCACCGGCUAACUACGUG
rnacentral:rRNA from 1 species